CACGUAGGCACCAAGCGUUGUCCGGAUUUAUUGGGCGUAAAGAGCUCGUAGGCGGUUCAGUAAGUCGGGUGUGAAAACUCUGGGCUCAACCCAGAGACGCCACCCGAUACUGCUGUGACUUGAGUACGGUAGGGGAGUGGGGAAUUCCUGGUGUAGCGGUGAAAUGCGCAGAUAUCAGGAGGAACACCAGUGGCGAAGGCGCCACUCUGGGCCGAUACUGACGCUGAGGAGCGAAAGCGUGGGGAGCAAACAGG
rnacentral:rRNA from 1 species